CCUACGGGAGGCUGCAGUGGGGGAUAUUGCACAAUGGGGGGAACCCUGAUGCAGCGACGCCGCGUGGGUGAAGGAGCGUUUCGGCGCGUAAAGCCCUAUCGGCAGGGAAGAAGAAGGACGGUACCUGACUAAGAAGCCCCGGCUAACUACGUGCCAGCAGCCGCGGUAAUACGUAGGGGGCAAGCGUUAUCCGGAUUUACUGGGUGUAAAGGGGGCGCAGACGGCAGCGCAAGCCAGGAGUGAAAGCCCGGGGCCCAACCCCGGGACUGCUCUUGGAACUGCGCGGCUGGAGUGCAGGAGGGGCAGGCGGAAUGGCGGGGGUGGGGGGGAAAGGCGGAGAG
rnacentral:rRNA from 1 species